CAGGAACUCUGCUCCUAGAGAAAUCCAGGACCAAGGACAAUGCUGUCAAGGAAUCCACCAGCUUGAGUAGACACAGUGGUGGUCAUAGGCUACAUUCUUUUUAUCACCUGAAGUCACUUUAGCGACUACACUCUGCAAAUCAGAACUCCAAGGCAGAUAAAGACAAAUUCCCUGGACAGAAGGUGGAAAGACAGAAGAGCCAGUCACCUGGCAGAGUGGGGAUGGGGGAGGGGGAGGUUGGUGCACUGAGGCAACCAGCCAGCCAGCAGCCUUUCAUGCCUCUAAGGUUCCAGGGCGCAGGCAGCUGGCGGGUUCACAGAUCUGGCAAACAGGGAAGCAGGAAGGGCAGCCAUUCCUCCUAAAGAGCAGAAUUCUUAGCCCCUGUGACAGGCCCUCCUGUCUAGUCUGCUAGGAAAUCUAGGGGUCUUCUGUCUCCAGUUUUGCGAACCCAGGGACCCAGUGAGGGUCAGUUCAGAGAGAGGCAUCUGUCCCAGCCUGCAGCGGCCCCCCUGAUCCCUGAGCCAAGCUGGAAUUGGUUAGACUGCCAGCUCCAGCACGGAGACCACACAGGCGCCGCCGGAGGGCAAGGCUGACCACCGCGCUGAGACUUUAUUGUGCGGAGGGAAAUUGACGUGCAAAGUACAGAUGAAAGGAAAACUUCGGCGCAGACCCCUCUAACCCAUGAUGGGAAAUCUGAGAAAAGGAUCCGGGAAAUGGAGUGCGGUGCAGGAGCCUGGAACUUAGCAAAAAGAAAUGAGGGGAAGGGGCGGACGGCGACUGGAAGAAAGAAAAUUCGGCUCAUUUCUGAUGAAAACACAACCUGUGAGAAAAAUACUUAAAAUCUUAGCGAUCCUUCCCAAAGUGACGUCGAGGACGGUGUGGUCCCAUGUUCAGGGGUUUUUCUUCUGCGAAGAUUUGAUCGCUGUUCUAUCUCUUCGUGUCUCUGUCGGACCCUGUCUUUCUCUAAAGGAAUCUGGCUCUGUGCAAUUAGCAGUAAUAUAUGAAAGAAAUCAAGCUGGGCCGGAGAAAACGAAAGUACUUCCCAGGACUGUAGAUCCUUGUGAUUUCUCGAAGAACCCUAAAGGAAUCCUCCUGCCAGAGCUCACAUACUGUGGGAGAUUUAAAAAAAAAAAAAAUCUGUGUUUUGGAACUAACCCACAUACUAAAAAGUUAGCAGCCAUUAGAGUUACCAGGAGUUCCUACCCGGAGUGAGUACCCAGCUUCCUUAGUGGCCAUUUCUGAGUGGCAAAAAAGGCCUCAAAGAAAAAGCUCUUAGUGUCUAAAAAUUGUGCCUAACAGUUAGGAUGUGUGUUUGUGUUUCCAGUUGUCAAUUGCUGUGUGCAGCCUGUCCAGACAAGAGGAGAGGAGAUAAGGCUGAAAUGUUUCUUUUUCGAUUGCCAAAUAUGGAUAUGGCUUGCUAAUUUCAAGACCUUUGUAAGCAAAGACAUUUAUAACGGGCCUUUCUAGGUUGAAAAUUUCCAAGGGAAGAGUUUGCCUACACUUGGGCACAGUCAUACUUACCUAUUUUUUAAGUACAUAAAACUUUUAAAAUAAAAAUUGAUUAUAUUGAAAGAAAUAACAUUUUAUUGGAGAUGUUUUUGAGCUGGAGUGGUAAAGAGUUUUUAGACAUGGCAAGUGAUAACCUCUUAAAAACAUCACUUGUGUGAAAGGAAUGAGGAGCAGAUUCAGCGAGCCGAGUGCGGAGGUUUCAGAGGUCUGGUGCAGAGUUUUCUUCAUCUAUAGGGAACAUCAUAGUGUUCAGGAUAGCAAUACUUUAUAAUAAAUAAGAACACUUUCUAGAGGCAACAUAAGCUUAAAAGAAAAAGAGAACACAUGUGUAUUAA